rnacentral:rRNA from 1 species
UAGGGAAUCUUCCGCAAUGGACGCAAGUCUGACGGAGCAACGCCGCGUGAGUGAAGAAGGAUUUCGGUUCGUAAAACUCUGUUGUUAGAGAAGAACAGCGCAUAGAGUAACUGUUAUGCGUGUGACGGUAUCUAACCAGAAAGCCACGGCUAACUACGUGCCAGCAGCCGCGGUAAUACGUAGGUGGCAAGCGUUGUCCGGAUUUAGUGGGCGUAAAGCGAGCGCAGGCGGUCAAUUAAGUCUGAUGUGAAAGCCCCCGGCUCAACCGGGGAGGGUCAUUGGAAACUGGUUGACUUGAGUGCAGAAGAGGAGGGUGGAAUUCCAUGUGUAGCGGUGAAAUGCGUAGAUAUAUGGAGGAACACCAGUGGCGAGGGCGACUCUCUGGUCUGUAACUGACGCUGAGGCUCGAAAGCGUGGGUAGCAAACAGG